rnacentral:rRNA from 1 species
AUGCUGCUGCGACGAGGUGAAUACUCCUAUAUAACAAGCCCCUCUCCCCGCUCCUAUACAUCCGUCUACCAUAGAACCCAGCUCGAAGCCGAAGGCUUUCACAUUCUACCAUACAAUCCUCUUCAUCCUUCACAAGCAACCGCCAUGGGUCUGUCCGCAAAGGUCUUCGUGGUCCUCCUGCUGCUGCUCGUUGCCACGGAGGAGCAGGGGGGUUCCGUGCAGGUGGCUCUGGCGAGGGAUUGCAAGUCGGAUAGCCACAAGUUCCAUGGGGCGUGCUUCAGCGACACCAACUGCGCGAACGUCUGCCAGACCGAGGGCUUCACCGGCGGCAAGUGCGACGGCAUCCACUGCCACUGCACCAAGGACUGCUAG